rnacentral:lncRNA from 1 species
CCGCUCUCAAGUGUAGAAAUCUGUUUUAUGUUCAACCUCAAGUAUUAAAACUCUCUCCCCAAAAAAUCCCCUCAAUAAUAUUCAAGUCUUCCUCUUUAAUCCCCCCAAAUUCUAGUCCUAAAAAACUCUCCUAUUUCAAGUCAAGAAUGACUCUAUAUAUAGCAAGACAAGUCUUGAAAUUCCCAACCCCCAAAUUAUUCUCCCAAUGACAUGCUUUGUCCCCACUAUUAAAUGUCUUCUUUAUUUUAAACAUUGUCCCCCAUGCCUACAUUAAAUAAAUACAUCCACCACAACCCAGUACAAUUUGUCCCCCAUGCCUACAUUAAAUAAAUACAAUAUUCCCUCCCAUUAUAAUUUGUCUUGUCCCCCAUUAUAUUAAACAAGUACAUCAAAAACCCCACCCCAUUAUAUUUUGUCCCCCAUGCUUAACAUAAAGAAUCAAAAUAAUGUUCAAUUACUAAACUACCCCUCCGACCUUAUUGCAAUUACAAAUCUACCCCUGAAUGCAAUGCAAUUUACCAAAUUACCCCUCUGCUCUAAACAAUCAAUUAAUCAUAACUUGACCAAAAUAUGGUCAAGAUGACCAAUUUCUCAACAAUCUUCAACAACAAUUAUAUGAACACGAUGAACAACACAACUCCAAAUUAAUGGAACUAAAUUAACCAUAUCGGGAACCAAUCCUGGUUAAUUUAGCAAGGAUACAACAAUACAAACAACAAAAUACAUGAUUCAAACUAAAUCAAACCAAUCAAAAACAAACAUAAACUCACAUUAAAUCACUGGAUUUAAACAUGAACUUCAAACCAAGACGAACAUGAAUUAAAUCUAUUUUUAAGCAACAAAACAUGACGGAUUCACAUGAUUCAAACAACAUUAAUAAUUUCUGGAAAAUACAUAACAACAUGAAACAAAUUGAAGAAAUAAUUAAUUAAAUUUCAAUUUGAAUGUAACAAACAUUAAAUUAACAAAUAUUCAGUUAAACAAUAAUACAAACAUGAAAUAAACAUGAAAAACAACUAAUUAAACUUCCAUUUUGAAAUCUGAAAAUUAAUUUAACAAAACCUAUGAACAUGAACAAAACCAAAAACCAAAUAUCUAACCAUAGACAUGAACACAACAAACAUUUGCCGAUUUUAGAUUCGAAAAUAUCAAAACAAAAUACGGACAAAAUAAAACUCAAAAACUACUAACCGGAUCGAAAUGAAAUAUGUACGGACUAUUUCGACGAGCCUCAACCAAAGAUCAACCAAACGACGACGAACCCGAACAUAAGAAGUUGACGCCGAAGCCACAGCAACAGCUGACGCGGCAGAAGUGAUGAAACGGAAGCAGCUGGUUCGUUUGCGAAGAAAAUGAAGGCAGAAGAAGCAGCGAUGGAGACUGGCCAUGGUUGUUCGAGUUGUUCGCAGUCGAAGACGAAACAGUAACGGAGGUCGUUCGGCCAUGGAAACGAGUGGUCGACGAGCUUGGCAAUGGAAACGACUGGGUGUAACGGUGGAAGCAGAAGGAACAGCAGUGGUGACAAAGUCAACGGGGAGGUUGACGGACAGCUGCUCGACGUUGAGGCGAUGCAAUGGUAGCCACUUCCACGCCAAAGCUGGAGAAAUCAACAUCCGUUUGGAGCAGUCAUGGCUGCUCGUCGCAGCUGGACACGGGCAGCAGUGGUCUACGAACUGUUCGUCGACAUGGUGGANNNNNNNNNNNNNNNNNNNNNNNNNGAAGGAGAAGUCAGCAACAAUAAUACCACAGCAACAGCAGAUUCAGCAACACCGCAAACCAGUAACAACCAGUAGAAUAACCCAGCGAUGGAUUGAAAACUCAACAAUACCAAAGUGCAAUCACAGUCAAAGCAGAAGAGAGAACAGAUACAAGAGGCAGUAGUUUCGGAUUUUGAAUAACACUCGAGAAAAGCAAACAGAAAUUAUUCGAGUGAAAGUUCAAAUUGCAUUUCUCUUUUACUCUCAAAAUAUUUCAAGUCUCCCGCUCUCAAGUGUAGAAAUCUGUUUUAUGUUCAACCUCAAGUAUUAAAACUCUCUCCCCAAAAAAUUCCCUCAAUAAUAUUUAAGUCUUCCUCUUUAAUCCCCCCAAAUUCUAGUCCUAAAAAACUCUCAUAUUUCAAGUCAAGAAUGACUCUAUAUAUAGCAAGACAAGUCUUGAAAUUUCCAACCCCCAAAUUAUUCUCCCAAUGGCAUGCUUUGUCCCCACUAUUAAAUGUCUUCUUUAUUUUAAACAUUGUCCCCCAUGCCUACAUUAAAUAAAUACAUCCACCACAACCCAUUACAAUUUGUCCCCCAUGCCUACAUUAAAUAAGUACAAUAUUCCCUCCCAUUAUAAUUUUUCUUGUCCCCCAUUAUAUUAAACAAGUACAUCAAAAAACUCACCCCAUUAUAUUUUGUCCCCCAUGCUUAACAUAAAGAAUCAAAAUAAUGUUCAAUUACCAAACUACCCCUCCGACCUUAUUGCAAUUACAA